AUAGAAAUAAUACAUGACAUUAAAACAGUUUGAAAGAAGCUUCAGGAAUAAAUAUUUGAAUAAUAAUAUGAACGAGUGUUCCUGACCACAGGGCGAUGCAGAUCUCCUCGGUGCUGGAGCAGAAGGACGACAGCGAGCAGUUGCUGAAGCAGACGCUGUCUCUGCACACCGGAGCCGACGCCUCGCACCACCUGCACAGGUUGAAGCUCAGCAGGACAAAAGUUCCCCCACCAUCAGAGAGCAGAGCCCAGGGAGAGAAGGGGAGAGGAGAGGAGAGGAAGAGAUCGGGGAGAGGAAGAGAUCGGGGAGAGCAGAGGAGAGGAAGAGCCCGGGGAGAGGAGAGGAGAGGAAGAGCCCGGGGAGAGGAGAGGAAGAGCCCGCGGAACAGGCAGUACUCACCGGCCGUCAGGAGGGCGAGGAUCCCGGUCCAAAGCGUCCGGCACCGGGCCAUCAUGAGUGGGCAGAAAUCCGGGUGUUUGUCGGUGAUCUGUGGAGCGUCUGAGCUGUGGAGACAGAGAACAGAUGUUUCUCAUCCAGAUGCAGUUAGCCCCGCCCCCCUGCUGCCUGACACUCACUCACACACACACACACACACACACACACACACACACACACACACACACACACACACACACACACACACACACACACACACACACACACACACACACACACACACACACACACACACAGAGACACACACACACAUACACACUCACACACACACACACACACACACACACACACACACACACACACACACACACACACACUCAUAUCUGUAUUUACAUGAGGAACACGUGACGACUUUAUGAAAUAAAAAGCGUGAUUAAACAUCAA